rnacentral:rRNA from 1 species
GUGCCAGCCGCCGCGGUAAUACGAAGGGGGCUAGCGUUGUUCGGAAUUACUGGGCGUAAAGGGCGCGUAGGCGGUUCUUCAAGUCAGAUGUGAAAGCCCCGGGCUUAACCUGGGAAUUGCAUUUGAGACUGGAGAGCUUGAGUUCCGGAGAGGUGGGUGGAAUUCCCAGUGUAGAGGUGAAAUUCGUAGAUAUUGGGAAGAACACCGGUGGCGAAGGCGGCCCACUGGACGGACACUGACGCUGAGGCGCGAAAGCGUGGGGAGCAAACAGGAUUAGAUACCCUCGUAGUCC